AUGCCAACGUUGGAAUCCCCCAUAAUGACCAUCUUUUUUUGUAGGCAGAUGCUCCAGUCCCUCAGUUUCCUGCUGGUGUUGGGGUGGCGAGUGGGCUUGAAAAUUUCAGUACCAGGAGGAGUAGAGGGGGUGACAAAGAUCUCCAUGAGGGUAAGUUGCCUGCGGCUCAUCCUAUGGGGAGAUCUGGCUGCUGCAGGAGGAGAGAGGAGAAAGAGAGGCCCCAUUUUGGUCAGGGAGAGGGGGCCUGGAGAGGCAAGAUGGAGUUCAGCCGCAGCAGCAGCAGGAGGAGGAGGAGAAGAAGGAGAAUCGGAGGAAGAGGAGACAGCCCCCUGCCGGAUGAUUGUUUGAUCCUCUUCAUCAGCAGGGCGCCAGGCUCCACUGUGGAUGUCUCAUCCUCCGCAAAUCGGGUGUUUGGGAGCAGAUCUUCCUCCUCAGACUGGCGAGUGCUGAAUUUGGACCUGGAGCCAGUCCUGGGUUCUCUCUGUGAUUUAGGAGAUGGUGGCGUGUUUGCGACCAUGGGAGGAGUGGGAGACACUGGGGUAGAGUGUGAGAGCAGAUGAGGAUGGGCGUUGUCAUCGUCGUCAUCAUCAACAUCCUCUCCCUCAUCCUUAACAUAAUGAUAACGUUCAUCAUCAACAUCAUUGUUGUACUCCUCUUCCUCAGCCAUGCUCUCCUCUCCUUCUGAUUGUUGGGAGGGGAGGGGGGACCAAUCCCCGCCCCUCAGGUGAGUCAUAGUGCCCAUGGAGGCAGUGGUGACAGUUCGAGGUGGGGCAAAAGAUGUGAUGCAAGCUGCAGCAGGUGCAUGUGUUUGGGCUGCAGUGCUGCGUGUGGCUGAAGGAGCCUGUGAUGUUGUGUGGGAGAGGGGGGGAUGCUGAGGGGAUUACCUGAGGUGAUGCUGAUGGGGAGGAGUCAUCUGAUUGGGCUCGGGAGGGGCUCCCAGGUGGGUCCAGUACACCUCGGGCAUUCAGGUUGUCAGACAAAAAGGUCUCAGCCUCCUGCAGGGUCUUGGGGAGGAGGCGCCGACCCAGAUUGCGACGGGCCCAGCCUGACGCCACUUCAAAGGGACCCCUCCAGUCCUGAUGUUGGGCAUCAGCCAUCUCAAGGAGAUGCUGCUGUAUCACAUCCUCAUAAUGCUGCUUCAUUAUGGUAAUAUUAUUGUGUUCCCAAUUUUUAGCAUUACCUUGGAUUAGGAGGAGCGUUGUGUGUGUGGGAGAAGCUGGUUUUAUAACGGUAGCAAGAGUCUCCGUCAUCUUGCUUACCUGGGAUGGUGCCCGGGCUCCGGACCAGUUCCGGAGGUGGUGGAAUGCCACAAUGAUUUUGUGUAGGGGCUCGGACCUUUUCCCUGAAGCGAGGAUCAUCUGACUGGAUCCUCAGCGGCUGCUGAUUUCUGCUUUGUGACUGGCGGUCCGGUCUUCUGCGGUACUGUGGUCCGGCCCGGUCUCUUCUCCAUGGGAGAAUUGCGCCGCUGGCGUCUGCCGUAUGUUGCGCGACGUCGCGGUCGGCGGAACGGUGAACGGUCCAGUUGUGGAGGUUCAUAGCGGUGACGUGGUGCAGAAUUGU
rnacentral:lncRNA from 1 species